rnacentral:rRNA from 1 species
UGACCUCGGAUCAGGUAGGAAUACCCGCUGAACUUAAGCAUAUCAAUAAGCGGAGGAAAAGAAACCAACAGGGAUUGCCUCAGUAACGGCGAGUGAAGCGGCAACAGCUCAAAUUUGAAAUCUGGCGCCUCCGGCGUCCGAGUUGUAAUUUGUAGAGGAUGCUAUUGGGUUGCCACCGGUCUAAGUUCCUUGGAACAGGACGUCACAGAGGGUGAGAAUCCCGUAUGUGACCGGCCAGGCGCCUUCUGUAUAGCUCCUUCGACGAGUCGGGUUGUUUGGGAAUGCAGCCCUAAAUGGGAGGUAAAUUUCUUCUAAAGCUAAAUACCGGCCAGAGACCGAUAGCGCACAAGUAGAGUGAUCGAAAGAUGAAAAGCACUUUGGAAAGAGAGUUAAAAAGCACGUGAAAUUGUUGAAAGGGAAGCGCUUGCAAUCAGUCUCGACGGCGGCUGUUCGGCCUCUCUUCUGAGUGGUUUAUUCAGUCGCCGCCGGGCCAGCAUCAGUUUUGGCGGUCGGAUAAAGGCGCGGGGAAUGUAGCUCCUCCGGGAGUGUUAUAGCCCCGCGUGCAAUACGGCCCGCCGGGACUGAGGUCCGCGCUCGGCUAG